AGAGUUUGAUCAUGGCUCAGGGUGAACGCUGGCGGCGUGCUUGACACAUGCAAGUCGAACGGUAUGUGGCAACACAUAGAGUGGCGAACGGGUGAGUAACACGUGGGAACGUACCCUCUGCAGGGGGAUAACUGACCGAAAGGACAGCUAAUACCGCAUAAGACCGAGAGGAGAAAGGUGCAACAGCAUCGGCAGAGGAGCGGCCCGCGGACCAUCAGCUAGUUGGUGGGGUAAGAGCCUACCAAGGCAACGACGGAUAGCCGGCGUGAGAGCGUGGCCGGCCACAAGGACACUGAGAUACGGGUCCUACUCCUACGGGAGGCAGCAGUGCGGAAUUUUAGAUAAUGGAGGCAACUCUGAUCUAGCGACGCCGCGUGCAGGAAGAAGGUCUUCGGAUUGUAAACUGCUGUGGUAAGGGAAAAAUGCCAUGUAGAGUGGAAAGCUACAUGGAGGGAUGGUACUUUACUAGAAAGCCCCGGCUAACUACGUGCCAGCAGCCGCGGUAAUACGUAGGGGGCAAGCGUUACCCGGAAUCACUGGGCGUAAAGGGAGCGUAGGUGGCCUGACAUGUCGACUGUGAAAACCCGGAGCUCAACUCCGGACUUGCAGUUGAAACUGCCAGGCUUGAGGACGGUAGAGGAAGACGGAACUGCCAGUGUAGGGGUAAAAUCCUUAGAUAUUGGCAGGAACGCCGGUGACGAAGGUGGUUUUCUGGGCCGGUUCUGACACUGAUGCUCGAAAGCCAGGGGAGCGAACGGGAUUAGAUACCCCGGUAGUCCUGGCCCUAAACGAUGUUCACUAGGUGUGGGGAGCGGAAAGCUUUCCGUGCUAAAGCUAACGCGAUAAGUGAACCGCCUGGGGAGUACGCCCGCAAGGGUGAAACUCAAAUGAAUUGACGG
rnacentral:rRNA from 1 species